UACGAAGGCGGCUAGCGUUGGUCGGAAUUACUGGGCGUAAAGCGCACGUAGGCGGAUUCUUAAGUCUGGGGUGAAAGCCCGGAGCUCAACUCCGGAACUGCCUUGGAUACUGGGAGUCUCGAGGAUGGAAGAGGUCAGUGGAAUGCCGAGUGUAGAGGUGAAAUUCGUAGAUAUUCGGCGGAACACCAGUGGCGAAGGCGACUGGCUGGUCAAUUUCUGACGCUGAGGUGUGAAAGUGUGGGGAGCAAACAGG
rnacentral:rRNA from 1 species